CAAUGAUAAGUGACUAUACACAAUUUUGUUGAUAAAAGACGUGAUUCAUAAUAAAUACGAUAGUUUUGACCUAUAUAUUUACAAAUAAAUCACCAAACCUUGUCAUUGUAUCUUGACAUCCUGCUAUUGCUACACAGCUACGAUGAAAGUACAUGUUUUCUUACUCUUGGUAAUUUAUGUGGUGAUGGAUACGUCGGCAAAGUCCAUUGGAAGUGAAAGGAAUGUAUCUUACAAUAAAUCGGAAAGUUCUUGUGUGUGCAUGAACAAUCAUCUGUGCGAAAUAAUAGAUCCGAACGUCGAAUGCCAUCCCAAUUACAUAAAAGUGUGCUGCCUAAAACCUUACAAUUACAAAGAUGAAGUAAAGGUGAUACUGCUUAAGUAACGCAUUUUUGGUUUUUUGCUAUUCUAAUCCGGACAUGAAUUUUAAACGCUGUUUUAAUUUUUGAAGUGCAGUUUUUAGUUAGAGUUAAGAUUAAAACCUGUAGUAAGUCUAUAAUAAUAAUAAUUUAUUGAA